AUGCUGCUGCUCCUGCUCCUGGGCCUGGCUGCAGCCUGGUCUCGUAGGUUCCCCUUGUCACCAUGGCACGGCACGGCACGGUGUGGGGCAGUGGCAGGAGGCACCCCGUAUUUGGCAGUGGGAAUGGACAGCAGGCUGAGAGUGUUUGUUCUCUUUUCUCUCCUUCUUUCUAGCUGGACGAGCACAAGUGCUUCUGAAGCAGAGUCAAGCAUCUGUUACCAGAGAGCAAACGAAAACUGCACGGAUUGACUGUGUAGCCGAGGGCAUAUCUGGCUUCCAGUCUGCGUAUAUACAUUGGUACCGACAUACGCCCCCCAGAGCUCCCCAACGGAUUCUGUUAAUCGGAUCAGGACCAGUCACUUAUGAUGAUGAUUCCUAUAGGAACAAGUACUCUUCUUGGAAGCAAGGUACAAAUGUCUGCACUUUCUUCAUCUAUGACGUCAACCCCAGCGAUGAAGGCACCUACUACUGUGCCUACUGG